UACGUAGGGUGCAAGCGUUGUCCGGAAUUAUUGGGCGUAAAGAGCUCGUAGGCGGUCUGUCGCGUCGGAUGUGAAAAACCCAGGGCUCAACCCUGGGCCUGCAUUCGAUACGGGCAGACUAGAGUUCGGUAGGGGAGUCUGGAAUUCCUGGUGUAGCGGUGAAAUGCGCAGAUAUCAGGAGGAACACCGGUGGCGAAGGCGGGACUCUGGGCCGAUACUGACGCUGAGGAGCGAAAGCGUGGGGGAGCAAACAGG
rnacentral:rRNA from 1 species